AUCAUGAAGGAACUUGUAUGGGUGCUAAUAAGGUUCCAUUUCUUGGUUACUCACUGAAUGCAUGCUUGUGGCCUACUCUGUGAAAAUUCUUCGAACCAGGCACUUUUGAAUUGUUAACUUUUCCAUAUGUCUGUUACACUUCAAUAAAUAGUUUACUUUCAGGUAUAGAUGUUCCCCCCUCAUUUUUUUUUUUUAAUCUAGAGUAAUUAAUUUUCUCCAAUUACCAAAUGCAAUUCAGAAACUGGCAGUUUCUUUGCCAGCUCCAUGAAUUUCAACCCACUCCUUGUCAUUCCCACCCCAUAUCCCAUGCUAUAGAUCCUAGAUUUUUCAGUAAAUGUGUGUGCAGGCACAUACAGUUCCAGUCAUGUGUGUGGACUCAUGUUCCAUUUUGCUUUCUUUUCUAAAUGUGAGUUUAGCUUUAUGUAAUAUACAUUUCUGGUACAUUAGGCACUCUGCUGGCAACAUAAUAUGCAUUAUUUCAUUUAAUCCUGAACACUGUCCUAUAAGGCCAUCAUAAUUGUCUACGUUACAGAUGAAGAGACAGAUCCAAAGAGAUUAAAUAACUUGCCCCAAGUCACAGAGCUAAGCAGGUCUCAGGGACCCCAGAGCCCUUGCUCUUUGUCCUAUACUGAAGCCUCCUUCUCCUUCAGCAAGAAGAUAGCAACCUGAGAACUACAUCAUAUUAAAGGAGAAAUUAUAUAGUCCACCUGCUUCCAUUCACAGAUGAGAAAACAGGGAAAAUGACUGGCUCAAGGUCCCAUGUGCUGGCCUUCAUUUCAUGUACUAAGUAUUCACUGUAGGAAGCAUGUAGGAAAGACAAUACACGAGUAGGAACAAAGUUUAAAGAACUGCAGAAGAAUAGACACAGCAUGUGGCUUUGGUAGUAUUCAUUAUAAUUUUACAAUCUAAACUGAAUAUUUUCUGUUUUGUCUUGGGGAUGAACCACAGCUGAACCUUUCUUAUACCCAGAUGAGAUGGUCCUGCUUUGGGCUUUAGAAAAUCCCCCACAUGUCACAAAUAACUAUGCACUUUGAUCUCUUGGAAGUUCUUUGCGUGCUUGUACAACACAACCCAUCAUUCCUAAGCUCCCAUUCUCAUGACUUAACAAUGUUUAGGAUCCCGGAAACUGAUUCUUCAUAUUUUCUUGUCCUUGACUAUGGACAAGGAUGACAGUCUAAAAUGCUGUGAAGGGCUCGUGGUUCCUUCCACUGCUGGGACUGAGGCGGGCACUAUGUCUGAGUGUGGGAAGGACUGCGGCAGCAGAAGCACUCAGAUAAGAGAAAACAAAACUUUUACUACAUGUUAAAUUCUUCUUUCUCUGCGUGAAUGCAAUAGAUUUUGCUUAAAGAAUGAUCCUCGCAGUCCUGAGGGUCUGUUUAUUGUGUAUCCUAAAAAGUGGUUCCAGAGGUACACAUGAGAAUUCACAACAAUAGUUGCACAUGGCGGCUGAGGAAUAUUUUAUGACAUUAAACAACUUCAUAUUACUGUUGAAUUUAGUAUUGCUAUAUAUAUGCUAUAAUUAUUAUAACGCACACACCUAGAUUUGAAAUUUAGGAAGCAAAAUGACAAAUCUUCACACUAACAAUCGGUGGAGACUGGAUUGGCUAAAACUGGAAAUAGUUUUGUUUUUUAGAAAAUUGUUGAAUAAGAUUUAAUUAAGAUUUUCAAAAAGUUAAACAAAAAUUCAGUUUUAUUUAAAUAAUAUUUUAAAUGUUAAUAUUUAGUAAUUAUAUGUAUUUUUGCUUUUAAAUUUUGAGAUAAUUUUCAAUAUUUUAGAUGGAAAAUAAUUUCUGAAUUCAUAAAUACAAAUAGUUCUAAUUAUUUUCAUUUUUGAAGUUAGCUUAAUUUACCUUUCAAGGCAAAUACACAUUUUGUAUACAUUGAAUGUAAUUUUAUUUGUAUUUUAAUCCUUCAUAUCAUUACUGUCAGUUAAGCAUAAAUUUUAUACUUAAAUGCAGGUAAGGACUAUUUAUUUUAUGAAAUGAGAGCAUAAAUUAUGAAUUGUGUAUGUUUUUAUUUUAUUACUCAUCUAAACAUCAUUGGCCAUCAAUAGAACACCCAAAUCUGAGCAAUAAUAAUGAAAUCUAGUCGUUUGCAGUUUUAUUGAUUUUCAGAUGUAUAAAGCUCAAACGAGUUGUUGUGAAAGAAUAUUGGUUAAAUAGAAGUAAAUUUGUUAGAUAGAAAAAAUAUUUUAUUUAGAAGGCUGUAAGCUCGACUUAAAACUAUAAAUAGUGAGACAUAACGUCUAAAUACCUCUAUUUGUAUGCUUGGUUCAGGCCCUGCAGAAGUUAGAGACUGUCUGACCACAGUGUUCCUUCGAGUAGGGUCCACGCGGUCAGCAGAGAGCUUGGGUCUUACCAGAGGGCUCUUCUCAUCCCCUACAGUGUUGAUUGGCUGUCUGGCAGCAUUAAAUCAAUGUUGGUUCAAUUUUUCUCACACUGUAAGUCGUUGCUCAUCUUUAUCCCUCUAAAUCAUAGGUCUGCUAUUAGCAAGAAAUUGCUCUAGUGGCAACUUCACAAUGCCUUUCAUCACAUCCUUUCCUCUUGUAUAUCAGCGAUGUGAAAAAAUGGAUUAAAAUAAGGUGCUUUGUGACUUUAUUACCGGUUUCCUUGAAGCCAAGUUUUCUUCCUCCUCAUCUCUCCCUUCUGUGUUCUUCCUCCAGUACCUUAUAUCCCUCCCCACACCUCCUCCUCCACCUCUCCCUCCUUCAUUUUAGUGAGGAAAGACUUCUCUUGGUAGCCAUAUCACCAAGUCAUUCACUUUUUUCAACUCUCUCUUCUCUUUUUGUCAGUGCCAAUUUUGCUCAAACCUGAAGUGUCACAAAUUUUUUGAACCCGACUUUCUGCCAGAAGUCUUUAAACAGAUCAACCCCUUUUAUUCUCUGAUGUUUUAAAACUCAUUUGCACAAAAGAGAAUUGGAAGGUCUCAGAGGAUAGUGUUCUGACGGUUCUUCAGAUCAACAGCUGUUAUUCCAGUUGACAGCAUUUUAAGUCCAGUAAUGAUGGACGUUCUCCUUUUCAUGUAAAUAUCAUAAGGAUAAAUGAAAAAUCUAGACGUACCAUUAUUGCCAUUUCUACUCAAUUUUUAGAUGAGUCUUACCUCAAUAUUUUAUCCUUCAUUAAUUUUCUAUCUACUUAGUUUGUUCAGCAGGUGGGAAAGAAAUAGGUUUCCUACAUGAAAAGACAAGCUGGUGCUCAUUUGUUGCCAUUUUAUUGACCCCACAUUUCUACCAAUUUCUCUGUGUCGGGUGAGGUGAUUGCCAAGAAAGUCAGUCUAGACUAUAAUUAAAACUAAGAUUUUUUUUCACCCUAUAAAUUUAACAGCUUCUUUCUUUUUCUUUUUCUUUUUUUUUUUUUUUGGCCUUUCUAGAGCUGCACCUGCAGCAUAUGGAGGUGCUCAGACUAGGGGUCAAAUUGGAGCUAUAGCCUCUGGUUUACACCACAGCCAUAGCAAUGCUGGAUCCAAGCCACGUCUUUGACCUAUACCACAGCUCAUAACCUACACCACAGCUCAUGACAAUACUGGGUCUUUAACCCACUGAGUGAGGCCAGGGAUCGAACCUGCGUUCUCAUAGGUACUAGUCAGAUUCGUUUCCGCUGAACUACGACAGGAACACCAACAGUUUAUUUCUUGAAACCAUCCUGUUUCUCCUUAAUAUGGCUCUAGGAAAAUAAACCACAAGUGACACAUUUUUCAUUGUUGUUUCCUUAGGAAUUGUGGCCAUCCUCAGUUGGGGUCUUAGGGUUUAUAGUGGUUCCAGAGCCAGGUUGGGCGAUGGCGGUUGUAUCAGAACGUUUUCAUGGCUGUAACCCCAGUUGAGAAUAAUACAAAUUUAUUUGACAAGAAGUGAAAUAUCUUAGAAAUUUCCCAGGACCCAACUGCCAAAGUCCCCAAGGCAGCCACAUGAGAUCCAUCAUGCCCAUUCUUAUUUACAAUUCAUUGGAAUAACCUAGAAUCUCAAAAGCACUGGGUGCUUUCUCAACAACAAUUUAACUCCUCUAUGAGUUAAAAGUAACCUAAGAUGAGUUUCACAAAGAAGACUUCACAGGAUCCAUUCGAAGUGUGGAGUCAAGCAAGGAAGGAACAAUUGCAAAAUCCUCCAGAGUGUUGUAGUUGUAUUUUUGAGCACUUAGCCACAGACAUAAAGUUAGACAUAUAGUUAGACAUAUAGAUAAUGUAUAUCUUUGUCUUUCCCAUUGGUUUGCAAACCCCUGUUGUUCCCUGUUGUAUUAUGAAGCCAGAGUCCUUAGAAGAUAUUUAGAGAAUGAAGGGUCUGGGGCUGGCCUGUGACAUGAUCUCACUCCCAGUCCUGGCAGUAAAAUUGCUCAGUAAUUGUAUUCUGUAAUUCACUUUCCUUUUGGAAAAUAGUCACAUUUUGUUGUCUUGGAGGGUGUGACAAAGAUUUUGUCACAUGCUUAUUUAACAGAAGCUGAAGGCCCAGAGACUCAGGCUGUGUGAUUUUUAAUUAUGCAGCGCAUGUCUUGUAACUUGACACUUGAUUUUCAGCAAGCCUGGGUACUGCCUUCUUUCAUCCUCCGGAAUAAUAAAAAUAGUAACAGUGAUAGCCACGAAGAAAGUUAAUGAUCCUUGUAAUAUGCUAGACACUGGGUUAAGCUCAGCAUGUGCAUUAUCUUGUUUAGUCCUUCCAGCCACACCAUGAGAUCCCUGUAAUUCUUAUGUCCAUUUUACAGAUGAGGAAGCUGAGAUAGAAAAGCUAAAUAGCUAAUUCAAGGUCUUCCAGCUAGAGAGAGGUGAAAGAGAGAUUUAACCCAAAGGGCCUGCUUCCAGAAUCCAUGUUCUUGGUCUUUAUAAUCUCCUGGAGCAAAUAUAUUAGAUCAUCUAUUAUGAAGCAGUUAAGGAGUUCAAGAAAGACUCCAAGGCAGAUUUUUCUGCCUUUCAAGUCCUUAAUCAUUCUUUCAAACUUUCCAGUUGGCAUGGCUCUCCGCUCAUAAAAAGAUGUUUCACUUACUGCAAUGUGACUGCAGAAGUCUAUGACCGCAGCCAGCACACAGUGGGUAAGAAGGAGUUAAGCGCUGACAGCCCUUCCUGCGCGGGUCUAGCCAGCAGCAGUUCAUCACAAAUAUGGGGCUUUGAUCCUGACAGCUCUCCUUUCACUCAAGGGGAGCAGGGAGGGUUUGACAUGGGGAAGCAGGAAAGACUAUAGAGAAAAGGGUCUUGUUUGUUUCCUGGGUGGAUUGCCUCCUUCUUGGCAUGCCUCCAGGAAGUGAGUCUUUUCCUGCCCUGAAACUUCAGGGAAAUAAAUCUCUCUCCUGUAGAACGGACCUGAGAGAGGCCCCGGGGCAGCCACAUGAGAUCUGUCAGGUCCAAUGACUUGGCUGGCAGGGUGGCCGGUGUGUAGCCUGGCAGGUUGCAGCCCCUGGCUGGGGUGGGGAGGGCAAGGGGUGUCAACAUGACCCAGGGAAGAGAAGGGUGAAUCCAGUGAGGUCUUUGAUCCUGGGGGCCAGCAGCCAGAGCGGGCACCCAUAGAGACUGAACCUCUGGGGGAGGAAGCCUAGGGGAAAGGGCAAUUUUGAACACAUUUAUAGAUGGAAGCCUGAGAGGUAAGCUUGAGGAAUCCUGAGCCCAGGACUCCAGAGGCCAAAGCAAACCUGAGAGAGGAACAGGAAGUGUCAUGGAUACAAGCUCAUGAGAAACAGCUGCAGCAUAAGAUUAAGAGCAGGAGAAGAGGGAACCGCGGGGUGAGGUGAGAGGAGUAGGGUCCCCACAGUGGUUUUUUUGCAGCCCAGGAUCCUUGACACUCAUUCUUGUACUAGUGUGCUGGUUUCUUUCUGUAGAGUUUUCCCCAUGCAGUUUGAACAAGGUGAUUCACUUUCCACCUCUGGUUAAAGCAGGUGAUCCUGUUUGUUACAGUCACGGGUGCAGGGAUGGGGGAGGAUGCACCAGGGCCGGUGAGAAACAGAGACUUUUGUAGGAAGGUAUUCUUCUCCUUGGACUUGAAGUUAAGAAGAAACAAAUGCUGAAGAGAUUGUAUUUACAUUGGGACUGUGAUGGGAGCAGGACUCUGUUUUAAGUUUGAUUAUUAUUCCCACAUUCACCCCCUUCCCCCCACCCCACUUCCAUGAGAGGAGUCAACUCCUUCAGAGCAGUGAUGUCAGGCUUGGCCAUACAACUGCCUUAUGGUGGGCAGCCUUGAAUUUGGGCUCAGCAUGCGACUUGCUUUGGCCAAUGAGAUAUUAACAGGUGUAACACAAGCAGAGGCUUGAAAUGUGCUUGUGCAUUUGUGCUGGCUCUUUGUACUUCUACUGUGGCCAUAGGAAGAAUUUCUCAGGGUGGCCGUUGCCCCCUCAGCCCAGCCUCAAGAUGAUAUCCCCAGCCUGCCUUGAGGAGCCAAGCUUAGCUGGACCCCAUCGAAGCAGGGCCACCAGAAUCUAACCUAACAGAUAUGCAAAGGGAUGACUAGGCCCAGUUGACCUCAGCUGACCCGCAGUUGUGUGAGAAGGAAGCGCUCAUUGUUGAAUGUCUCUGUAUGUUGUGGUUGCUGGUUCAGCAGCAGUGUCGUGAUAAUAGCUAGUCAAUACAGCCUUUUUUCAGAGCAAGGCCAACAUGGUAGUGACAGGGCUAAGAGAUGGAGUGAGAGAACUAGAAUGGGUCCUGGUGACAUCACCCUGAUCAAGUUGUUCUUAGAUCCAGACAAGUCCUUGAACUUUCCAUUCUUUUUUUUUUUUUUAAUUUUUAUUUUUUUGGUGGUGCCUCACAGUGUAUAGGACCCUCCUACAUCAGUAGCUCUUUUUAUUUUUAAACAGCACUGUGGAGGCAUAGAAUGGGA
rnacentral:lncRNA from 1 species